rnacentral:misc_RNA from 1 species
UGAUAGUGUUGAAAAUGGAAAUAUGUGAGGUUUGUGAUCCUGAGUGUGGUAGUUUAAGAGAUUUUGGUGACUAGUUAUCAUCAGCGAUACUAAUUUUAAAAAUUUUUAGAUCGACAAAUUUUCAGUUGAGUGAUAGUGUUUUUUGUCAAUAGAAGUGCUCACCAAUAGUGAAAAUAAAGAAGGCAUGUGAUAGAGUUAGGAACAAUGGAAUUGCAAAAUAAUGGAUCGUGGAGAAACUAUUGAGAUUUUGUAUUAAAUUGAAAAUGGUAAAAUGCCUUUACAGAUGUAUCUCACCCUAUUCUCAAAUUUCCAAACAGUGAUUGAAAUACAAGAACAAAGAAAUAAGAACUAAAAAUGGUUGCCAAGCAACCCCCAAUAACAAUUCUCGUACUAGCAGAGCUAGUCCCCAGCUCACAGCUGUCAAAUAACCAAGUGAUUUUUGGAUGCCCCUCUUCUUUCUUCUCUUCUUUAUUUAUAGACUUUCCUCAACUUCUAUUUGCACAAGUCUCGUGAUUCUGUUACUCUAGCUGGCACCUCUGCAUGUUUCUCACCUUCGCAAUUCCCUUUAUUACUUCUAUUAG